CCUUUCUUUCUCGAUGUUCCCUUUGGAUGCAUCCACGGAUUUCCCACGGUGGGGGUGGGGGCCGGGCUGUCCCACUCUGUGGCCCCCACACGUCCCCCCCCCCGUGUGGUCACCUCUCGAGCGUGGGUUUAAGUCACCGUGAGAGUCUCUGUGAGUCCGACUCAAAACAUUCCCCGGCUGAAUUCUUCUCUUCUUCCCCAGACCUGCCAUGGUGACUUCGGAAGCGUUCACAAGUUCUGUGAGUCCACGUCCAUCAAGAAGGGAAACUGAUCCCUGCCCUACUGAAUACGGUGACUGGAUUCCAGGGAACAGACGCGGAGGCCGUGCUGUGUUGCUGCUGGCGCUGGGGCAUAAAGGCCACGUGGCUUCUCAGCGCGUCUGUGCAGCCCGGGGCCACCACACCGAAGCCUGGGAAACAUUUUUGACCCCAUCUUUCUGCACACGUCACCACUAGUAUGUCACAGAAUACUUGGGCUCGUCCUUCAAGUCCACCCCAAACCCAGCCACCUCACAGGGCCUGCAGGGCCGACAGCUGGUCCGAGCCCCAUCGUGUCCUGCCCCGGAGCACGGCAGUGGCCUCCUACCUGUACCAGUGUCUUGCUCCCUCCUUCCCUGGCUUAUUCUCGACACAGCACGUGAAAUUUCCUGCCGACAGGGCCAGGCCUCCUCGAACGUUCCCGCCUCCUGCGGAUCCUGGCCUCCCUUCUCCGGACCUCGGGCUCCACAGGCCGGUCCUCAGGCCUCUGCGUCCUCCAGGCACCCGCGGGACUCACUCGCCCACACCGUGCCUUCAGCCAUCGUUCCCUCCAGGACCCAGCGACUGAUAUUAAGAGGAUAGAAGAUCAAUUUUCCCUCUCCUACGAUCCCGGGUGUGGACCUAAUUGUGCAAAGGGCGGGAGGUGGGUCAGCAGGCUUUGCUCCACCCUCCAGGGGCAUAUCUUGCAGUUGGUUCAACUCCUGAAUGUCACUGCUUUAUCCAACUCAGCAGCCUCAGCCGCGGUGCCCGACGAAUGGCCAAAGACAAGAAACCAACCACACAAAGAGCGCAGUGCACGCUUGGCGUCACCUCAUCUUGACUUUCAAGUGGCUUUAUGUGCUCUGUGAAAUGUUAAUCCUCGAGGGUGAAAUCCAAGCCGGUUUAUCCUCAGAGCUACCAGUGCCAGUGGUGAUGGUGAGCAUCGAGGCACGAAACUUCUUCUCCUAAAACACAAGGGAUCUUUUCAACACACUCACCGUUGCCGUACAAAAAGCCAUUCUUGUGUCAGAUCAACAGAGGGAACUGGUCCAAGUGCAAAGACAAUUUGAGGCUUAUGUUCUGUUUCCUGUGUCCUGUUUCCUUCCCCGGGGGAAGACCACCGGUCGGACACAGCAGGGACCCCGAAGGUCCAGGUUUCUGCAACUCGAGUUUUUAUUCGGCAGGUCCUGUGGUGGGGCUGGGAACCCACAGGCCUCCCCGGUGAAGGGGUGGGUGGUCCUGAUGCCGAGGCCUGAGGGCCGCCCGCAUUCCAGAAACACCCCCGUUAGAACUACCAGGAGCCCGAGGCCAGACACGGUCGUCAAGGAGUAAAUAUAUUUACAAUUUCCAGGGUUUGGCCCACGCAGACUUUGCCUGGCCCACGUCCACGCAAGCAGAGGGGUAUUUCCCAACAGCGAACGUGCCUGUGGCUUCCUGAACUGUACUUUGAAAUAGAACAUGAAGAGAUAGUCAUUACUUAUGCAAUUAAUAAUUCCACAGUUGACAUUUAACACAAUUAAGAAGGAAUAAUUAGCGUAAUUUUUACUAUGCAAUGCUAAUUUAAAAGGAUCUCUUACAGCUCACGGGAUGGGGCCAGGCUGCUCAGACUUCUGUGGGAGGCCUGGCUGGUGCCUGCGUCACUACGCUUUUCCUCUCCUGGGUCCCGGGUCCCCAUGCGAUCGAUAAUCUCAUCGUAAAGAACAGAGACAACCGCCGUGUCUGGAUAUACUCUGCCGCUUAGGGACCUGUUCUUUAUUAAAUCUGCUAAAUACAAAAUACAUGCGAAUCCAAGCCCUCACACUUUACUUUCCUUGGAGAAUUCUGGUAUUUUCAUUAGGAAAUACCAUCCUGUGUAAUCAUAUAUUUUUUAAUUUUUUGGAACUCAUGUGUUUUUAAAUAUAUAUAUAUAUAUACACAUAUAUAUAAUUUUUUUUAACUUUAA